rnacentral:lncRNA from 10 species
CUUGCUGUAAGCCAUGAGAUGACCCUUUAAGUUUUGCAAAGGAGGCUUUCUUGAUCAUGGAUGGUGAAGAUAUACCAGAUUUUUCAAGUUUAAAGGAGGAAACUGCUUAUUGGAAGGAACUUUCCUUGAAGUAUAAGCAAAGAGUUUACUAAGUCUUAUCAAACCUUUUACUGCCCUUUCAUUAUUAUCACCGAAGUCAGUUAUUCUAUUGUGCCAGUGGAUAUGAAAGCUUCCAGGAAGCUCGGGAUGAGCUAGUUGAAUUCCAGGAAGGAAGCAGAGAAUUAGAAGCAGAGUUGGAGGCACAAUUAGUACAGGCUGAACAAAGAAAUAGAGACUUGCAGGCUGAUAACCAAAGACUGAAAUAUGAAGUGGAGGCAUUAAAGGAGAAGCUAGAGCAUCAAUAUGCACAGAGCUAUAAGCAGGUCUCAGUGUUAGAAGAUGAUUUAAGUCAGACUCGGGCCAUUAAGGAGCAGUUGCAUAAGUAUGUGAGAGAGCUGGAGCAGGCCAACGACGACCUGGAGCGAGCCAAAAGGGCAACAAUAGUUUCACUGGAAGACUUU